AGUGAACGCUGGCGGUAGGCCUAACACAUGCAAGUCGAACGGCAGCACAGUAAGAGCUUGCUCUUACGGGUGGCGAGUGGCGGACGGGUGAGGAAUACAUCGGAAUCUACUUUUUCGUGGGGGAUAACGUAGGGAAACUUACGCUAAUACCGCAUACGACCUACGGGUGAAAGCAGGGGAUCUUCGGACCUUGCGCGAUUGAAUGAGCCGAUGUCGGAUUAGCUAGUUGGCGGGGUAAAGGCCCACCAAGGCGACGAUCCGUAGCUGGUCUGAGAGGAUGAUCAGCCACACUGGAACUGAGACACGGUCCAGACUCCUACGGGAGGCAGCAGUGGGGAAUAUUGGACAAAGGGCGCAAGCCUGAUCCAGCCAUACCGCGUGGGUUAAGAAGGCCUUCGGGUUGUAAAGCCCUUUUGUUGGGAAAGAAAAGCAGCAGGUUAAUACCCCGCUGUUCUGACGGUACCCAAAGAAUAAGCACCGGCUAACUUCGUG
rnacentral:rRNA from 1 species